rnacentral:rRNA from 1 species
UACGAAGGGUGCAAGCGUUACUCGGAAUUACUGGGCGUAAAGCGUGCGUAGGUGGUUUGUUAAGUCUGUUGUGAAAGCCCCGGGCUCAACCUGGGAAUGGCAAUGGAUACUGGCAAGCUAGAGUGCGGUAGAGGGUAGUGGAAUUCCCGGUGUAGCGGUGAAAUGCGUAGAGAUCGGAAAGAACACCAACGGCGAAAGCACUCUGCUGGGCCGACACUGACACUGAGAGCACGAAAGCUAGGGGAGCGAAUGGG